rnacentral:other from 1 species
AGAGUCCUGAUGUGUUCGUUCUUUAACCUAUAAGUUUUGACCGAACACUUAUAGUUACGGGAGCUCUAAGUUUCCGGGCUGCGUAAAUGCCUCCCUUCGGCCGAGGACUUACAAAUGUCUCGAACAGGGCACCCACCUGCGGAGAGCGGGUUCAAAACGAAGGCAUAAACGGCACAAUCGGGACUCUU